rnacentral:lncRNA from 1 species
CUUGGUUCCGCGUUCCCUGCACAAAAUGCCCGGCGAAGCCACAGAAACCGUCCCUGCUACAGAGCAGGAGUUGCCGCAGCCCCAGGCUGAGACAGUUGUUUCUCAUCUUAGGGUCUGGAACAGAAUCUGACAGUGAUGAAUCAGUACCAGAGCUUGAAGAACAGGAUUCCACCCAGGCAACCACACAACAAGCCCAGCUGGCGGCAGCAGCUGAAAUUGAUGAAGAACCAGUCAGUAAAGCAAAACAGAGUCGGAGUGAAAAGAAGGCACGGAAGGCUAUGUCCAAACUGGGUCUUCGGCAGGUUACAGGAGUUACUAGAGUCACUAUCCGGAAAUCUAAGAAUAUCCUCUUUGUCAUCACAAAACCAGAUGUCUACAAGAGCCCUGCUUCAGAUACUUACAUAGUUUUUGGGGAAGCCAAGAUCGAAGAUUUAUCCCAGCAAGCACAACUAGCAGCUGCUGAGAAAUUCAAAGUUCAAGGUGAAGCUGUCU